UGGCUCUCGCAUCGAUGAAGAACGCAGCGAAAUGCGAUAAGUAAUGUGAAUUGCAGAAUUCAGUGAAUCAUCGAAUCUUUGAACGCACCUUGCACCCUUUGGUAUUCCGAGGGGUAUGCCUGUUUGAGUGUCAUUAAAUUCUCAAACUCAAUGUGGUUUUUAACCGUGUUGAGCUUGGAUGUGGAGGUUGCAGGCUUUAACAAGUCGGCUCUUCUUAAAUGCAUUAGUGGCUUGUCGAUCCCCAUUUUUUGGUGUGAUAGUAAUAUCUACAUCAUGAUGAAUGGCUAGGUCAUGCGAUGACAAUAUGGCUGCUUUCUAACCGUCCCUUGGGACAACUUGAACCAUUUGGCCUCAAAUCAGGUAGGACUACCCGCUGA
rnacentral:misc_RNA from 1 species